rnacentral:rRNA from 1 species
GUGGGGAAUUUUGGACAAUGGGCGAAAGCCUGAUCCAGCCAUGCCGCGUGCAGGAUGAAGGCCUUCGGGUUGUAAACUGCUUUUGUACGGAACGAAAAGACUCCUUCUAAUAAAGGGGGUCCAUGACGGUACCGUAAGAAUAAGCACCGGCUAACUACGUGCCAGCAGCCGCGGUAAUACGUAGGGUGCAAGCGUUAAUCGGAAUUACUGGGCGUAAAGCGUGCGCAGGCGGUUAUAUAAGACAGAUGUGAAAUCCCCGGGCUCAACCUGGGAACUGCAUUUGUGACUGUAUAGCUAGAGUACGGUAGAGGGGGAUGGAAUUCCGCGUGUAGCAGUGAAAUGCGUAGAUAUGCGGAGGAACACCGAUGGCGAAGGCAAUCCCCUGGACCUGUACUGACGCUCAUGCACGAAAGCGUGGGGAGCAAACAGGAUUAGAUACCCUGUAGUCC